rnacentral:rRNA from 1 species
GUGGGGAAUCUUAGACAAUGGGGGCAACCCUGAUCUAGUCAUGCCGCGUGAGUGAUGAAGGCCUUAGGGUUGUAAAGCUCUUUCAGUGGGGAAGAUAAUGACGGUACCCACAGAAGAAGCCCCGGCUAACUCCGUGCCAGCAGCCGCGGUAAUACGGAGGGGGCUAGCGUUGUUCGGAAUUACUGGGCGUAAAGCGCACGUAGGCGGAUCGGAAAGUUGGGGGUGAAAUCCCAGGGCUCAACCCUGGAACUGCCUUCAAAACUAUCGGUCUGGAGUCCGAGAGAGGUGAGUGGAAUUCCGAGUGUAGAGGUGAAAUUCGUAGAUAUUCGGAGGAACACCAGUGGCGAAGGCGGCUCACUGGCUCGGUACUGACGCUGAGGUGCGAAAGCGUGGGGAGCAAACAGGAUUAGAAACCCUGGUAGUCC